rnacentral:lncRNA from 12 species
UACACCUGUUUUAGAAAAUUUUAUCUCACUAAUUUUUGCAAUCUAUGGCAGGUGAAAGGAAUACGUUUCCCACCUCUUUGCAGGUACCAAGAACCGCAAGGCUAGUUGAGGUUACUGGAUUGAGGCGCUGAAGAUUAGAAGUGAACCCCAAAAUCUCAGGCUGAUCUACCCUUUGGAAGCCAACUGAGGCCUCAUCUCCAUUUGCCCCGGGGCACUGCCGAACCCACCGCAGAUGCUGCACCAAUGAGGAAUGAAUCUUUAUGUUUUAAGCCUCUACACUGCUGAUAUUUGUUACUUUAGCAGAACUUAAUCCGAAUAAUCCAGGGUUGUUUCUGUUUGACUUCAGCCUUUACUAACACAUUCUGAAAGAUUGUCUUUGAAAGCACCAGCAAUGCGACAUUUCGUUGUAUAAAGGGAGCUGUUAUGGAGACAGCACAUACCCCACUAGCAAGAGGGGCCCUGCUAAGCUCCUUCCCUGGGCACUACGCUCAGCCUCUCAGCAGCAAGCUGCCAUAGCUUUGAACUCUGUCUGUGAGCAUCUGUGCUUUAUCUCGAUUUAUUUUGUGCAUCUGUGAGCAAGGGGUAUCCUAAGGUCUGUCUAAAGAAGUGAAGUCUGAUUCCCCUUCCAAAGCCCCAUUCGUUAGUGCCUGACAAAAAGUGCCUGACUGGGCCACCACCUUGCCACGCAGAACCACUCCAGGCUGAUUUCAUGGGAAACCUGCAUCUCUACCUCAGUCCCUUGCCUUUCCUGAUGCUCAAUAGCAGACAACCUCAUCCUUGAAAAAAGCCUACAAAGGUUUUUGUAGGAUAGUUUUAGAGCUAAAGGAGUUAACCUUCAGUCAACAGAGGAUGAGUUGUUAGGGUAGGAAGAAUUUCUAGGAGGACUGAUUACGAGAGUGCAGCUUAGAUGGCCCUUAUCAGAUGUCAGGGAGUAUGUGAAAAAGUUGCCAGUAUAUGAAGAAUGAUUUUUGAAAGAGGCUGAGUAAAGACAAGGCUUUCAAGAAGAAAGUCAAUAUUCUAUAAGACUGAGGAAGCAUUUGAUGGAAAGGGCAAGAACAGAACAGCAAAGAAGAGGAAAUAAGUGAAAGCUAACAUAGCAAAACUCUAAAUACAGG